AUGCUCGCCAAAAAGGGUUGGCCGCACGACCCUGCCUGCGCUCUUUGUGCUGGGCCGAUGGAAGACGCCGCCCACCUUCUCGCCUCCUGCCCGUUCUCCGUCCAGAUCUGGCAGGGGGUUUUGCGAAGAUGCAACCUGUCGCUCGGCCUUGCCCCCUCUGCCACCACCACCUCUCUGAUGAUUUGGUCAGACCACUCCUAUGGCAUGUUCCCAGCAAAGGAGAGGAAAGCUUGGAGCUCCCUGGUUCAGCUCGUAUGGUGGAACUUAUGGAUCGAACGGAACGCAAGGAUUUUCAGGAACCAACGCUCUCCUGCCGUGGCUCUGAUCGCCAAGAUCGUAGAGGAGGCAGCCGUUUGGAGUAGGGCAGGCGGAUGGAGGGUCAACUCACUGCUAGAUAGACCUAGGCAACCAGACUAG
rnacentral:rRNA from 1 species